rnacentral:rRNA from 1 species
AUGCACCACGCGAUUAGCCUGCAGUUCUUCGACUGCUGGAAGAUUCUCAAGGCGGCAGAGAGGGAGCGCUGGGCGAGAGUUGCUCGGGCGGUGCCCGCCAAGGUGCUCGCCUUGGCCAAGUUCGUCCCGUCCGAGCCGGCCGACGCAACGCCCAGCGAGAAGGUGCAGAGCGCCCACGGAGAGCUGUCCCGCCUGAUGGUGCUCCACGACGUUGCGGGCCGCGACCUUAAGUUGUCGGCGCUGCACCUCGGCGUGCCCCACGACGACCUGUGGCAGAGGUGGUGCACCCGCCACGCCGAGGUCACUCGCGCCGGGCACCAGACCCUCGGCUCCCUGCGCUCCGCCGUCAACACCAUCGACCUCCUCGACCCCACGAGCGGCAGCGCCACCAACAAGACGGGACUGGGGCACGAGACGGAGCUCCUCCUCCGCGCCCAGGACGAAAUUCAGUCGGCACGAGAUGGUCUUCGUCAGAUGCGGAGCGCAGCGACGUUAGAGGUUUUCGACGCUGCGUGGAUCGCCCUCAAGCGGCAGCCAGCGUGA